CCUACGGGUGGCAGCAGUAGGGAAUUUUCGUCAAUGGGGGGAACCCUGAACGAGCAAUGCCGCGUGUGUGAAGAAGGUCUUCGGAUCGUAAAGCACUGUUGUAAGUGAAGAAUGCCAUAUAGAGGAAAUGCUAUGUGGGUGACGGUAGCUUACCAGAAAGCCACGGCUAACUACGUGCCAGCAGCCGCGGUAAUACGUAGGUGGCAAGCGUUAUCCGGAAUCAUUGGGCGUAAAGGGUGCGUAGGUGGCACGAUAAGUCUGAAGUAAAAGGCAACAGCUCAACUGUUGUAUGCUUUGGAAACUGUCGAGCUAGAGUGCAGAAGAGGGCGAUGGAAUUCCAUGUGUAGCGGUAAAAUGCGUAGAUAUAUGGAGGAACACCAGUGGCGAAGGCGGUCGCCUGGUCUGUAACUGACACUGAUGCACGAAAGCGUGGGGAGCAAAUAGGAUUAGAUACCCUUGUAGUC
rnacentral:rRNA from 1 species